rnacentral:rRNA from 1 species
UACGUAGGGGGCAAGCGUUGCCCGGAUUUAUUGGGCGUAAAGAGCGUGUAGGCGGCCAGAUAGGUCAGCUGUGAAACUCGAGGCUCAACCUCGAGAUGUCGGCUGAAACCAUCUGGCUAGAGUCCGGAAGAGGAGAAUGGAAUUCCCGGUGUAGCGGUGAAAUGCGCAGAUAUCGGGAAGAACACCCGUGGCGAAGGCGGUUCUCUGGGACGGUACUGACGCUGAGACGCGAAAGCGUGGGGAGCGAACAGG